GAUGAUGACAAGUUUGGUGACGAAACACAUAAGAGUAUCGCUGCUCUUGUAAACGCUGUGACAAAUCGUAAGUCUGUUAUUACAGAAAUAGCUAAGGAUUAUAAAGUUCCUUCAAAUAGCAAGUCUUUGGCACCUCCUAAAGUUAAUCCUGAGAUUUGGCAUCUAUUGAAUCGCCAAGCCAGAAGUGAUGAACUGUCCUUUCAGACCAUACAAAGGAUCCUGGGUUUUGGCAUUGUACCAGUAAUACGUACUGCAGAAGCACUGACGAAACCAGAUGCAGUAAAAACGGUGGCUAAAAUGAGGGUCAACAUUAAUAAUGCCCUGUCAAUGCUUUGUGCAGCAUUUUUUGAAAUAUCAUAUGUUAGACGCAUGACACUGAAAAACAAUAUGGAUCAGAAGUACCAUCAACUGUGUACGAGACAUUUAGACGUUACUGAAUAUUUGUUCGGAGAUGAUGUGUCCAAGAAAGUUAAAGAUAUUAAUGAUGCCCAGAAGAUGAAGGGAGUUGUAAAUACAGCUACUUCAAAAAACUGGAGACAAGGGGGUUGCAGCUAUGGUUGCCCCCCAGGUAUAAACAGGGGCAGAGGAAGAUACCAAAACAACAAUUAUGGCCAAAGAGGCAUGAGAAACUCCCGCUAGAGGGAGAGCUGGUUACAGAAACCAAAGAGGCAGGAGAUAUUAGAGUAUCAUAGCAAGAAUUUUGAACAAGGUAGAAGAGGAACAGGAGUUCCAUUCUUUACAGAAACCGAUAACAUUGUGGAUUGACCAGAGCUGUCGAUUUUUCCAGGAUUGUGUUCAUGGUGUUGUGUUGGAUAUAUAAAUGAACUUUAU